AGAACGAACGCUGGCGGCAGGCUUAACACAUGCAAGUCGAACGCUCCGCAAGGAGAGUGGCAGACGGGUGAGUAACGCGUGGGAAUCUACCUAGUUCUACGGAACAACAGAGGGAAACUUCUGCUAAUACCGUAUACGCCCUACGGGGGAAAGAUUUAUCGGAAUUAGAUGAGCCCGCGUAAGAUUAGCUAGUUGGUGGGGUAAUGGCCUACCAAGGCGACGAUCUUUAGCUGGUCUGAGACGGAUGAUACGAGCCAC
rnacentral:rRNA from 1 species